rnacentral:rRNA from 1 species
CCCGCACAAGCGUGGAGUAUGUGGUUUAAUUCGAUGCAACGCGAAGAACCUUACCUGGUCUUGACAUCCCGGAGACCCUUAGGAAACUAGGGGGUGCUUCCAUCUGGAAGAAUCUGGAGACAGGUGCUGCAUGGCUGUCGUCAGCUCGUGUCGUGAGAUGUUGGGUUAAGUCCCGCAACGAGCGCAACCCUUGCCUUUAGUUGCCAGCAGUUCGGCUGGGCACUCUAAAGGGACUGCCGGUGUUAAACCGGAGGAAGGUGGGGAUGACGUCAAGUCCUCAUGGCCUUUAUGACCAGGGCUACACACGUACUACAAUGGCCGAUACAAAGGGCAGCGACACUGCGAGGUGAAGCCAAUCCCGUAAAAUCGGUCUCAGUCCGGAUUGGAGUCUGCAACUCGACUCCAUGAAGUUGGAAUCGCUAGUAAUCGUGGAUCAGCAUGCCACGGUGAAUACGUUCCCGGGCCUU